rnacentral:lncRNA from 1 species
GCCUGGCUAAGUUUUGUACUUUUGUAGAGAUGGGGUUUCACCAUGUUGGCCAGGCUGGUCUCAAACUCCUGACCUUAUAAUCUUCCCACCUCGGCCUCUGAAAGUGCUGGGAUUACAGUCAUGAGCCACCGCGCCCGGCCCGUGUUGUGUCUUUUCUAACCCUGCAUGCCUGCCUUGACCUAGAACCCUGCAGGAAACAUUUAAAGAGCGCUCACUACCUGCCAGGCACUGUGCUACCUCACACUGUCCUCACAACACCCCGAUGAGGACAGUCUUACCACUUCCACUUUACAGAUGAGCAACUGGGUCACAAAGAGGUGAAGUGACUUGCCCAUGGUCAAAGUAAGUGGGGGAACCAGAUUCAAAUCCAUGCAGGCCAACUCCAGGUCAUUAUCCUUAAUGGGGCUAUGCUGCCAGCAAUACAAGCUGCCUACAAACACUUAGCAAAUGAGAGAGAAUAAAGAAUGAGGGCUGGGAGUGGUGGCUCACACCUGUAAUCCCAGCACUUUGGGUGGCCGAGGCGGGUGGAUCACUUGAGGCCAGGAGUUCAAGACCAGGCUGGCCAACAUAGUGAAACCCAAU